rnacentral:lncRNA from 1 species
GAAGGCAAAAGUCCAAGCGUGACGCACGAGUGAAUACAAGUCAGCGUGAACAGUACAUGGGUAUUGUUCAUCUAUUUAUAGGCACAGGGCGCAACCUGUGCAAAAUUACAUUCAUGCCCUUUAUGUUUACUAUUGACUUAAGGACAAUCUAUCGAGGACUAGAUAGCCUUUUCCUCUUUAAGUCGGUUCCUUUUUCUGCUGCUGAGCCGAAACUUCCUUGCGCUUAGCUUCGGAACUGGUUCAACCUUCGUCCUGACCAUGCUUUUCAUAUUGUGUACAACUUCAUUCCAAGUCCGAAGGUUCCUGUACAUAUAUCACACUUAGGAAACAUUGUUAAUCAUGUUUUUGAGGACCUUCGGAAGACGAAGGCCCCCAACAGUAGCCCCUCGCAGUAUUAAUUUGUUAUAACAACGAAUUUAGACUGCAACAUGAACGAAGGCCUUAAGCCGAAGGUCCGAAAAAACACCUUCCCUUUGCUAGAAUAGCAACAGUCAAUGACAGACGGGGUCCACCAAGCUGCAAAGCACUGGGCGUAUAAAUAUGAGCCAUAGCGACAGUGUUUGAUACGCCAUUUCUGCCGUUUGCGUUAUUUUCUCAAACUUUUAGCUCUUGCUCAUUAGCUCUUGUCUGAUUUUCGACCUUUCCAAGCUUCAGUUUAGAGACAUGUUUUCGCCAUGUCUGAGGAGAAGAAGAUAGCUGAGGAGACAAAGAUAACUGAGGAGACGAAGCUGUAUGAAGAAAAGAAAGUUGCAGAUCCUUUCAUCGCUGGAUUUUAUGAGUCCAUGGCAAAAACAAAUACAGAGAAAAUUACUAAGGAGAUCAUGGAGGGUUUAUCCGAAGAUUCUGAAGACAGUGAUAGUUAUGACGUGGAGAGUGGGGAUGAAGAUUCUGAGGAUCGGCCCUGGCGGCCAAGCCAUGUCGUCUUCGGAAAAUCAACCAUCAAGCAGAGUCAUAUUGACACCAUGAGAGGGAGAUAUUUUCGUGAUAUGUCUAUUGUUAGAGUUGGAGGAGACAACAUCUCCCUGCUCCUGAGGAAAAUGAAGUUGUUGUCUAUCGAAGCUUUCUGAAGGCUGGUCUUCGGUUCCCUUUGAGCAAAUUUGUGGUUGAAGUAUUGAAGAUAUUCCAAAUCUUCCUUCAUCAGAUCACCCCCGAAGCUAUAAUUAGGAUGGGGAUUUUUGUCUGGGCUGUAAGGAGUCAGGGGCUAGAGCCAAGCGCGAAGUGCUUCUGCAGUAUGCACGAACUUUUAUGCGAGAUGAAGGCUACUGGCAAAGAACAGUACCACAACAACUUCGGUUGUUAUGGAUUUAUUGCUCGCCCCAAUGCAAGCCACCCAGUGCCAACAUUCCGGAAAAGAUGGCCUGGGGCCUGGAUGGCGGAGUGGUUUUACGUUAAAAAUGAUUUAAAGAAAAGGGAGGAUAUCAAGGAAAUAAUUCAACGCCCCAUCUAGUCUCGCUUCGGCCUUCAAAGGCCGAGGGUCACUAUUGAAAGCGAUGUCGAAGCAUGCUAGAAGGCCUUUAGCAAUGUUUGUGCCUUAAUUGGCACAAGAGAUAUAAUUCAAGAACACAUAGCCUUCAAGGUGUGGCCACUUGUGGAAAGCUGGGAUAUGCCGAAGGAAACUACUGUUGAAUCUAGUGAAAAUGGCUUAGUUCGACUGAAGUAUACCUUCAGAUUUAGAGAGAGGUUUGAUGAGCCAAAUGAUGACUGGUUAAAAUGUAUUGAAGCUACCAGUGAUGAGCUACUUGGGGCAUACUCCAAGGCCGAAGAUAAUGCUUUGUCCACAGCUUUCGAAGGUCGGGGCAAGAAAAUAUUUAACAGGGUAUUUGAUGCGAUUGGCUUCGUAUACCCUGAUUACCACUACCCGCUACGAGGGCAAGGAAAAAAGAGAAAGACUGCCGCUUCGGCCACCACAGCUGAGCCGAAGGGCAAAAAGGUGAAAGUUCUGACCCACCGGUCGCGUUAUAUUGAACCGGUCGUAGUGCCUGAAUUUGGCGAAGGGGCCUCUUCAACUGCCAAAACACGACAAGCUGCUUCGAUUGUGCAGAGUGUUGAAGAGCCGACUAUAGUGCCGAAGGUGCCUACAGUCAGGCCAAUCGAAUCUAAAGAUGAUAAGGCCGAAGAGCCACAGGUGGAAAAAAUAGAGAAAAUGCCUGAAAUUCUGAGCCCACCAGCUGAGGCAAGUUUGCCGAAGGUGCAGAAGGCUCCUGCCGCAACUCCCAAGAGGAGGAGGAUGGCCAGCGUGCUAGAUGCUAUUAUGGAGACUACAAAGGCCUUGACCCCUGCUUCUAUUAAGAAAACUGCCGAAGCUGCCAAGGGUCAGGCCGAAGACGAACCCGAGCCUACAGUGCCCAUUGAGGCGAUGGCUGUCACGCCUGAAGACAAAGCUGAUCAGCAAACUUCGGAUACCAGCAAGACACCAGGGCAAGAUAUGGCAGAAAAAGCAAAAUCUCCUGCCCUCGAAGCCCCGGCCGAAGCUGUGGAUUACAUUUAUCGACACGCUUCGGGGAAGAAAUUGUCCGAAGAUGAAACCGUGGAAGCAAGACAUUAUGCUCAAAAACUGAAAUAUCUGAAUGGAGCCUUAGUGUUUAACGGUAGUAACGAAGAUGAUUUCCUAUACUGUCUCCGGACAACAAAUAAAUAUCUGUUUGCCGGGAGAUAGCUAAGAGUAUGGGAUUUCCUAAGCUUGAAGAAGGCCUUUCGGUCUUAUCGAAGGAUGAUCUUGCUGAUAGCUUGGCAUACAACAGUAUAAAGGUAUAGAAGUUAACUUUAAAGUUGGGAAUGAAGUAUUUUAUUUUUCAUGCUCAAUUCUUUCAUCAUCUUUGCAGGGCUUAAUUCUUAGUAAUGCCCUGAGGGAACAGAAGAACAUCAAAGACGAAAGCUAUACAAUGUCUCUUAACAACCUUCGUUCAGAGGUGAUUGAACUGAGAAACGAAGGUCUGGAAAAAGACAAAAUUUUGAUUUCAUUGGUAAACAAAGUAAAGGAAGACGAAGCUAAUUACAAAGCCAAGGCCGAAGCCCAGAAAACCGAGAUUGAAGACCUUCGGAGACAACUGGCCGAAGCUAAUGAGAGGUGCACACUCGCACAGGCUAACCGAGAGAUCACCGAAUACUGGAAAAAUAAGCUAGAGAAAAAUGUUGAAGAACUUCGUGAAUCCAAGGAAAAGUGUUUUGAGAAAUCCUUGGAUUGCGUGAAAAAAUUAAAAACUAGCUUCGCCAAAGUGGGCGCCUAUUCUUCUGAAGAAAAUUUUAUCAGGGCGACCCCGAGGGCGUUGUUGAAUGGAUAAGUGGAGAAGCUGAAGCCUUCGAGGAAAUCUUGAAUGAUCGCAGGGAUAUUUGUGUGUUUUCCGACGCGCGGGGGAUCUCAGCUAUUCUGGAGAAGGCCGGAUGUGAUCAUGUUAAGGCUAUAUCCCAGGCUGAAGCUGCCUUCUUCAUAGAGGAUACGAAGGAUCCUUCAGCCGAAGCAACUUUAAUGGGCGAGAAAUUUUAUAACGAUGUCUGGGUGAACGGUGGCCGAGAGCUAGCCCACGAGAUUAUAAAAAAGAAUGAAAAAGACACCCAUGACGCCUGGGCUGAAGCAAAGCGAGCUGAAGAGGCUGCUGAACACGAAAGGCGUAUAGGUAUUAUUUUUUGGUGUUUUAGCUUCGGUACUUUGUUUUGUGGCUUCGAACUAAUCAAUUUACCUCUUUCAGCUGAACUAUCCCCUCCACCAGAACCAUACAAUCCCCUAGUUGAUCCAGAAAUGAAGGAAGCACUAGAUAUUAUAAGCAUGGCAGACUCCAUUAUUGACGAAGUCGUCGAUAAACUUUUGAACGAAGUUGCAGAAAAAGUCCUUAGAGAAGAAUAGAUUUUAUUGUAAUAAUAUUUUGAAAUGCUUGGUGUACAUAACAAUGGAAUUAAUGUUAGGCUUCUAUUGUAACAAAACUAUGUGACAUUUGAUGUAUGUAACAUUGAAUCGAAUAUGUAAAUUAUUGUAAUUUAUUUAUUUGUGAUGCAUGAAAUUUACACACAUACCGUUUUUGAGCCUUCGGCGAAAAAACACCUUCCCUUCUUUUCAUGCUUCGUAAAGAAAGAGAUCCCUUCUUAUGACAAGUCUGAUAAAACUGUAUUUCCCGAAGCUUACUUCGUGCCUUGGCACAUUUUCAUUUUGACGAAGCAUUUGCCGAAGAUUGGCUUCGUAUUCGAUUCUUGUGCUGUUAAUGCAAUAUGAUGUAUGAUGUAAUGUUAUGCGAAAUGAUGUGAUGACAUGAUGCAAAAUGAUGAGGAUGUCGAAGACACACACCCACACGCCCACACCGGAAUACACAAGCUCUGCAUCCCCUUAGGAACGACUUUUGAGCUUCUUCACCUUCUAUUUCAGUGAUAUAAGUUCUGCAUCCCCUUAGGAACGUCUUUUGAACUUCUUCGCCUUCUAUUUCGGUGGUAUAAGUUCUGCAUCCCCUUAGGAACGACUUUUGAACUUCUUCGCCUUAUAUGUCGGCGGUAUUUGGCUCUGCAUUCCCUUUGGAACGACUUUUGAGCAGAAAACUUACACUGCGCUCCCUUAGGAAUAACUUUUUGUAGCUUCGUCAAUUUUGGCUCUGCAUUCCCUUAGGAACGACUUUUGAGCAAAAAACUUACGCUGCGCUCCCUUAGGAACGACUUUUUGUAUCUUCGUCAAUUUUGGCUCUGUAUUCCCUUAGGAACGACUUUUGAGCUUCGUAAAUCUGUGAGGAAGAUAUAUUUAAUUCUGGUACAGGCAGAAUCAUUACAAGAAAUUAAAACUGAGUUUUUUAUUACUUGUUCUUCAUACAGAAAGAAAAAUGGCGUAAAAAGUAAAAGUAUUUCAAAAGUAGGAUAUUGCUCAGUAUAUGUGCUUUGAUUCUGGUACAGUGCUGUUGACUGUACGAGCUUCGGACUCCUCUCUGAAAUCAUGUUACUAUUGAGGGUGCUAGCGCCCUUCUGGGUGCUGGCUUCGAGUAUAAGUAGGUUGCAAUGGUGGUGGCGGUGGGAGCUGAGGCCAGGAAGCUUGUGAAUGUCUUGCCGAAGCAACAGAAGCUGCAGGUUGAUUGCCCACAUAUUCUGGUAUGUAGGGAGAGUAACACGAAGCAGUAUGUAGGACCUGCUUUGGUUGAUUCUACCGGGCUUCUGCUUCGGCGAUCUCUUUUUGCUUUUAAAUGGUAAUUUGGCACGUUCUUGUCGUGUGGCCCUUGUCUUCACCACAUAAUAAGCAGUAGAUUUUCCUGGGCUGAUCCCCAUAUCUUCCUCCGAAGCCCCUCCGCCUCGGCCCCUUGGAGCUGGUGGUCUGAAGGAGCUUUGCUGCUGUCCUGAAGACUGUGAGUUGUGUUGUGGCCUCUGAAACUGGCCUCCCUUGUCAUCGUUCUGACUGGAGCUGUGGAUUGAUCUGACGUGCCUAGGGUGGAUUCUUCCUCCGAAGCCCCUAGUCAUCUCAGAAAAUCUAUAAGCUUCCUUCCUUCUUUGGCGGAAGUCAUUGUCAGCCCGGAUGUACUCAUCCAUUUUCUGAAGCAACUUCUCCAGAGUCUGGGGGGUUUCCUAGCGAAGUAUUGAGCCGUAGGCCCUGGCCGAAGACCUUUGAUCAUGGCCUCAAUGACGAUUUCAUUGGGACCAUGGGUGCUUGUGCUCAUAGACGUAAGAACCUUCGGACAUAUGCCUAAAGGUACUCCUCAUGGUCUUGAGUGCACUGGAACAAGGCCUGAGUAGUGACUGGCUUCGUAUGAAACCCUUGAAAGCCGGUGACCAGCAUUUCCUUAAGCUUCUGCCGUGACAUGAUUGUCCCUGGCCAGAGAGAAGAGUACCAUGUCUGGGCCACACUUCGGACUGCCAUGACGAAGGACUUCGCCAUGACUGCGAUAUUGCCCCCAUACAAAGAUAUAGUUGCUUUGUAGCUCAUCAGAAACUGUUUCGGAUCUGAGUGCCCGUCUUACAUGGGGAGCUGAGGUGGCUUGUAUGAUGGGGGCCAUGGGGUAGCCUGCAGUUCUGCUGAUAGAGGAGAAACAUCAUCAAAAGCAAAAUUUCCAUGAUGGAAAUCGUCAUACCAAUCAUCAUCAUUGUAGGAAUUGUCCUGAUGAAGCUCUCUUUGUGGAGGUCUUCGGUCCUGGUCAUCUUGAGUAAGAUGACGUAUUUCUUUAGCAACUUCAUCGAUCUUCUUCUGUAGAUCAGAGAGACGAAGCAUUUUCUCUCUUUUCCUUUCGACCUGUUGAUGGAUAGCUUCGACAUCCCUUAUCUCCUGGUCAAGCUCCUCUUCCUGGGGUGUUGGACUUGUAGCCUUCCUCUUUUGAGUUCGAGCUUCGUGCAGCGUGUCCUGAUUGACGUCUAGUGGCUGCAAUGCAGCCCCUAGCCCUGAAGAAAUUUCCUUCGGCGGCAUGACGAAGGUCACGACUUGCAGAAGGUGGUCGAUUGAGUUCACCGUAGGUGGGCGCCAAUGUUGGGGACUUGUUCUCAAAUGCUAUGAGUUAAGAACAAGGCAACACAAAAUGAUAAUGGUUAAAGUCCUUCGUCCUUCGAAGCAUUAUCUCCCUUAGGAUAUAAUGAUCUUUAGACAAAGGUCAUGAAGGACGUACCUUCAUCAUCGCAGUAUAUAUAUAUUAAUGAAAGAAGAAACAUAUUGUCACACCCAGGUUUUAGGGGUCCAAAGCCCGGGCGCGAACAUAAUCACCAGGUGUGCUGGGACCAAGUCUCACACAUAUGAUGAAUCAUGGCACAGGAUCGAAUGUCACAUCUUUACUAUAUAAUAGGAGUUAUGUACAAAAUAAAUAAAUAAUUACAUUAUAAGGAGACAACGGUCCAGCAACCCAAAGUUGACUGGGAGACGACAACCUAGACCUCUCACGAACUCGUCACAACAUCCUCCAAGCGCCUCAUCCUGCGGUACCUGUUCUUGACCUGUGGAGGGGUGUGAGACAGCAAGAGUGAGCUCACAUACGUUCAUCGCUCAACAAGUUGUGGGGAAUAAUGUGCAUGAACUCGCCAAAGGUGGGAGCUCACGUGAAGUGUAAGGCUUACCAAAGAGGAUGGUUGAAGCUGAGCAUUGCUUUUAAUGUUGGUCAAAAUUUUAUUAGCAAUUACUAAGUAUAAGUAAAUACCAACCCAAUUAAGUAGCAGAACAAAAGUAACAACCUCACCUGCGAUGCAAUGCAUAUGACAAAUUGAGUUUAAGUUUCAUAAUUUAAUCAUGUGAGUGUCCGAGCUGCUCAUGACCGUGAGCACGGCUAGUAUACCAGUUUUACACUCUGCAGAGGUUGCACAUCUUUACCCACAAGUCAUGUUACCCAUCUGCCAAGGGAUCGCGACUUCCCAUACACCUCUACCGAGGAGGCGAGGCAGGGUAACACUACGAGGCCUUUACAAAGUUCCACUAGCUUCAGAAAACCCGCUACAGUUUAUAGGAAGCUCCAAUGCAGGGUUCUUGCCUGACCGCCAUCGCAGCAAAAUCAACCAAGGACCUCCCUACACUGACCACUCCCCUACUGCCCUUGCCCCUUUCGGGUAAGGUAGUCCUCCACUAGCUUUCCUAAUUAAUCAGCCAAGGGCAUCCAUAAACCCUUGUGGUAGCACUGUUUUCCCGGGUGGUUCUCCAUGUUCCAAUUAACAUAAUGAUCUUAUCAUGAACAGUAAAUAACAACUGAUAAUAAAAGUGUAAUCAUGAAUAAUGUAUCUCCAUACCCAAAACCACAUAUAGCACUAGCAAGUACUACCCAAAAAGUUUAGUGGAGUCAAGGUAUAAAGAUAAUCAAACUAGGGUAACCUGUUGGGUCCCAUCAAAAUUAACCUAUGCAGAUCAUUAUGAUUAAUCAGAACAUGACUGGGUAAAAAGAAGUGAUCAAGGGCACAACUUGCCUGAGACUUGAGAUUCCAGGUACCAGGAUGAUCUUCAGAUUCUCGUGACCUCACUGCUAGUCGUAGUAAUACAAACAUACAUGGUAUAGGCAAAAUUAACAUCACCCCAAACAUAAGAACAAACUGAAUAAUAAUAAUCUACGCUGAUACGAGACUAACGGAACUUGAACGAAUCAAAUCGGAGUUAAAACGGAGGAGUUAUGAUUUUAUGAAGAUUCUAUGUGUUUUGUACAAGAUUAAAUGGGAUAUAAAUUUUGAUGUGACUUUCAUAUCAAAACAGAGGUACUAUGUGAUAAACAAUAAUAUUAUAGAAUUAUAGAAAUUGGAAUGAACUAAUUUGGACAUCAUAUGAAUUUUCUAUGAUUAAUACAAGUUCUAGUAUUUAUUUUUGCACUAAAAAUCCAUUUCUAAUAUAUUUCCUCUGAUUUUCCAACUCUCUGGACUGGGCGCAUAAUUAUUAAAUAGCGCAGGGUCCUCGGCGCUAAACCUACCGAGACACAGAACACUGAGAUAUGGACCGCGGGUUGGUUUCUUAAAAACAGAGGGGCUUCUCUGCAAAAUGCGCACGGCGAAAGGGUAUCAUCUAAAUCUAGCCGUUCAGAUUAGGUCCUACGGCCCAGAUUACAUUAGCCUAACAUCGAGACGGUACGCGCCCAGAGCCGUCGAUCAAACAAUCAACGACCGGGAUUUAAAAUGCCGAGAUAGACUAUUGUGCGUUCGAUCCCGAUCUAACGGACACAACCUAAUCUAUCCCAGCCGUUCCUACACGAUCGACGGUCCAAGGGCUUUGUCUUAAUCCGGCUAGCCACAGGCGGCGGCGCGCACACCAUGCAGGGGAAACAGAUCGGCCCUGGCCGGUUUGGUCAUGCUAGGAAGGUUUGGCCAACAGGUCACAUGGCUAGCUGUAGCAGAUGGGUGCCAGUCAGGCUAGUGCAGGCUCGUCGGCCGGUGGUGGCCGCAUGGCCUUGGCACGACGAGCGCUGGACAUCCGGGUGGGGGCGGCAGGACGCGUAACCGCCGAGGCUGGGAAGGGGCUACAGGGAGAAGGGCGCCGCCAUGGCCAGGGGAGUCGUGUCGAGGGGAGGGUUGCAUGGUGUGCGUAAGGAAAAGAACACGACAUGGCUAGAGAAGAGGAUCGGCAAGGGUCGGCAAUGGCGCUACGUGCUUCCACGGCGAGUAUGGAAAGGGGCGUGGGGAGCAAGGGAGCGUACCUGCUAACUGCAAUUGACAUCUCGGCGAGGGCUGAGCAAUGGUGCAGUGCAACGUUGUCGACGGCAGCAACAUAUAUAUAUCUCUCUCUCUCUCUUAGUUCAGGGGUUACGACUAGAAAUCCUGGUGCAGCAUAGGCUUUCGUGGCUUAUGGCCAGAGGAGUAGGCGACCAGGUUCUUAUAUCCCAAGCAUCGAUGGUCUAGCUGGCGCACGGCUA